AUACGUAGGUGGCAAGCGUUGUCCGGAAUUAUUGGGCGUAAAGCGCAUGUAGGCGGUGCCUUAAGUCUGUCGUGAAACUGCGGGGCUUACCCCCGUAUGGCGAUGGAAACUGUGGCACUUGAGGGCAGGAGAGGAAAGGGGAACUCCCAGUGUAGCGGGGAAAUGCGUAGAUAUUGGGAAGAACACCGGUGGCGAAGGCGCCUUUCUGGACUGUGUCUGACGCUGAGAUGCGAAAGCCAGGGUAGCGAACGGGAUUAGAUACCCCGGUAGUCCUGGCCGUAAACGAUGGGUACUAGGUGUGGGAGGUAUCGACCCCUUCCGUGCCGGAGUUAACGCAAUAAGUACCCCGCCUGGGGAGUACGGCCGCAAGGCUUAAACUCAAAGGAAUUGACGGGG
rnacentral:rRNA from 1 species